AGGAUAAACGCUGGCGGCGUGCAUGAGACAUGCAAGUCAAACGGACGAUCGGGGUUCGCUCUGAUCGUUAGUGGCGGACGGCUGAGUAACGCGUAGGUGACCUGCCCCGAAGUGGGGAAUAACUGCCCGAAAGGGUGGCUAAUACCGCAUGUGGUGGUGCGUUCGAUCGCACCAGUAAAGCCGCAAGGCGCUUCGGGAGGGGCCCGCGUCCGAUUAGCUCGUUGGUGAGGUAACGGCUCACCAAGGCGACGAUCGGUAGGUGGUCUGAGAGGACGAUCACCCAGACUGGGACUGAGACACGGCCCAGACUCCUACGGGAGGCAGCAGUCGGGAAUUUUGCGCAAUGGACGAAAGUCUGACGCAGCAACGCCGCGUGAGGGAUGAAGGCCUUCGGGUUGUAAACCUCUUUUUCCAGGGAAGAUAAUGACGGUACCCGGCGAAUAAGUCACGGCUAACUACGUGCCAGCAGCCGC
rnacentral:rRNA from 1 species